UGUUUGUUUACAUUUUACAUUUUCAUAAAAGCUGUGUUUUUCUAUGUACCCAGUUCAUUUUUUAAACUUACUGUGCAAUCGUCGAAAUAAAAACGGAUGACGGCCUUUACUAUUUGUGGAACAGUUUAUCGACUGCGCUCCUUUCAAAUUGUUCCCACAAACGUUGCACAUAUAUUUGUUUUGGAUUAAAAUUUGGCGCCAUUGACCGCCAAUGGUUAAAGAUAAAUCAUUUAUAUAUGGUAUUAAGAUACUUAGUGAUAUUCAACGAUUAAAACCAAGAUUAAAACUUCGUUGGCUAUAAAACGAACAAAGCUUGUUGUUUGAAAUUCACAAUGUCUUGGGAUAAAAUAAAUCACAUGUUGUCUAAAUUUAAUUUCACAUUCACUUGGAAAUAUGGUGGAGAUGGUGAAUUGCGUUCCUUGCUUCUUGAUCUGUUUCGUGUCUUAGGUGACGAGGAUGAGAGGUACAUGGAUCAA